UGCAAGGCUCCCACGUGGCGCCGGCUUUUCCGACGGAGGGACGCCAGCCCAUUCGGCACCGCGGGAGGCGUUGGGUCCUAGCUAACGGUUAGGCAGCAAAAGCCCAUUGCCAGGGGUUCUAGCCCAAACCCCGCCAGCGAUCGCUGCCGUCGCCCCCCUCCCCAGCGGUGGCACGCCGCGAGCGGGGCCCGGGGCCAGGCGACGCUGUACGUGCCAAGACGUCGCGGGGAAGCAGCACCUCGCCGGAGCCGCUCCUGUGCCUUUAGGAAACCGCUCGCUUGCAGGGAUAACGGGAGCGGCGAUUGCCACCGGCGCAGGGGGAAGAGGCGCCUUGCACCGCGGCUCUUCCGCGGCUCCGGACGGAGGAGGAGGCUCCUGCGCCCCCACGGUGCUGCUCACCCCGGCUUUGCCAACUCUCUCCUACCAAAAACCGGCUCCCUGGGUGCAUGGAUCCUGCCGGAGUGCGGCCCGAGCCGGGCGAGCAGGAUUUGGCCGCGGAGCAUCCCCCACACUCUCUGCACGGCCGUGCGCCCGGGAGGACCGAGGGCAAUGUCCGAGCCAGGCGAAGACGAAAGGAGAUGCGGCAACCGAACGAUUAAGCCCAAUCGAAUCACGGAAGGUGCCGCGUGCGCCCACGCUUCCGUUUUCCAGGGUGGUCCGUGACUCCUUAAGGAUCCCAUCCGGGAUGGGAUCCAUACCCACUCACUCCCAGAUUGCCCGGCCUAAAAUUGCAACUGGGCUUCCCAGGUGGGAUUUGCUCGUAGGCACCCACGGAAAGGUGUCAAGCAAAGCACGGCUUGAUGGGGACAGAGAGAGACGUGCGUGCGGCAGCCAGCGGGAGCCCGGGACUCCCAGCAGCGCCUCGCCGGGACACGCAGCCCCGGCAGGAUCCGGACCCGCCGCCGCGUUGCCGUCAGGCUCCCCGUCCCGGCAGCUCCGGCGCGCGGGGCAGCGCUGGGGCAGGGUGGGGAGCUGGCCCCCUGCCCCGAAACCGCGGCGUUUACGUCCGCCAGCAUCGAUCGCGGCGAGACGCCGAGCUGACGCAAACUAAUUCACAGCGAGACGCGGAGGCAGCCGAAGGCUUGACCCCGAGCGCUCAAGGAUGAGGGCGGAUUCGGAUCAGCAGAGCAGCUCCGGCCUCUCCUACCGCCACCUGCACCCAGACCCGGCUGUCCCGGCCCGGCAGCCGAUCCCGCAAGGGAUCCCUGGCUCCCCGGAGGAGGGGAGCGCUCCCAGGCCGUCCCCGUGCCUGGCGCCUCCCCGCUAAGCUGGGAGCUGGUGCUCGGCUCAGCCGGAGAGCUGCCGCGUGCCGG
rnacentral:lncRNA from 1 species